rnacentral:rRNA from 1 species
AUGGAGCUCUCAUUCACCUCGGCCCAUCCCAUGCUCCUCUUCCUGCUCCUACCUCUACUCUAUGUCCUCCGCCUACGUCGGAACACCAGAAAGCAACCUCACGCCGACGGCCUCAAGGCCUACCCCAUCAUCGGCACGCUCCCGCACUUCGUCAAGAACCAGGACUGCCUCGUCGAGUGGUCGGCCGGCGUCGUCGCUCGUUGCCCCACGCACACCAUGGUCUUCGACUUCAAGGGUCUCGGCCUCAUGGCCGGUGCCAUCACCGCGAAUCCGGCCAAUGUGGAAUACAUCGUGAAGACCAACUUCCAGAACUACCCCAAGGGUGAGUUCGUGGUGUCUGCCAUGGCGGACUUCCUUGGCCAUGGCAUCUUCAACUCCGACGGCGACCAGUGGCUCUCGCAGCGCAAGGCCGCCAGCUACGAGUUCAGCAAGCGCUCGUUGAGAAACUUCGUGGUCAGCACCGUCCGGUUCGAGGUCGUCGAGCGGCUGCUUCCUCUGCUCUCCCGGGCGGAGCUAGAAGGCCUGACGCUGGACAUGCAGGACGUUCUCGAGCGCUUCGCGUUCGACAACAUCUGCUGCGUCGCCUUCGACGAGGACCCGGCGUGCCUCACCGACGACGGCCUGGGGUUGAAUGGGCGUGCCGAGUUCAUGCAUGCCUUGAACGACGCGCAGAUGAUGAUCAUGGCCCGGUUCAUGUCGCCCGUCAAGUGGGCAUGGCGGGUCAAGAAGCUACUCAACAUGGGACCGGAGAGGCGGAUGAGCGAGGCACUCGCCACGAUUCACGGCUACGUCGACAGGAUCAUCCGUGACCGCGGCGAGAGGGGAGCGGCCGGGCUGGCGCGCAAGGACGACUUCCUCUCACGCUUCGUCUCCAGCGGCGAGCACAGCAACGAGAGCCUUCGUGAUGUGGUCACCAGCUUCAUCAUAGCCGGGCGGGACACCACCUCAUCAGCGCUCACUUGGUUCUUCUGGCUCGUGUCCCGGCGGCGCGAGGUGGAGGACAAGAUCGUCCGCGAGAUACGCGCGGUGCGAGCGUCCAGCGGGAGCACGGAUGCAGCCUUCAGCUUGGACGAGCUGCGCGAGAUGCACUACCUGCACGCAGCGGUCACGGAGUCCAUGCGUCUAUACCCACCCGUGGCCAUGGACUCGCGCUGCUGCAAGCAUGACGACGUCCUGCCCGAUGGCACGUUCGUCGGUAAAGGUUGGCAGGUCUCCUACAGCGCGUAUGCCAUGGCGCGGUUGGAGGAGAUAUGGGGCGAGGACUGUGCAGAGUACCGGCCAGAGCGAUGGCUCGAUGAGGAGGGUGCGUUCCGGCCAGAGAGCUCGUUUAAGUACCCGGUCUUCCAUGCCGGGCCGAGGAUGUGCCUCGGCAAAGAGAUGGCUUACAUACAGAUGAAGUCCAUUGCUGCCUGCGUGUUGGAGAGGUUCAGCUUCCAGUUCAUCGGAGGCGAGAGCCGGCCAGGGGUUGUGUUCUCCGUGACCUUGCGUAUGGAGGGCGGCUUGCCGAUGCAAGUGAAGAAGAGGGGGGCACUGAGCAGCUAG